GUGUAAGAGCUACUCCUCAUUAGCUUCAUUCUUAACAUUGGAAAGGACUGAAUCUGACUAAGGAGAGCAGAACUAAUUUUUGCUGAACCUUACUUCUGAUGAAUAAACCCAAAACUGCCUUGAACCCUGUCUCUACGCAUGAUUUGAUUAGACAACAAGAUCUCUGAAGAAAACAUAACAAAACAAAACAAAGCCAGUUCAUUUCUCUCAGUGAUACCUCUGGGUCACCUGAAACAGAGCAUCAGUAGUCCUAAUUUUCCAAGGAGUCAGCGCUCUUUGAAGUAACUUAAAUGACCUGGCCAUAAUGUUCAGAAACGUUGAGACCUGACACCUUCCUGCAUUUCCAGCUGUUCAAGGUGAGCUUUCUCAUCUUGAUAAAGAGAAGACA
rnacentral:lncRNA from 1 species